rnacentral:rRNA from 1 species
UACAGAGGGUGCGAGCGUUAAUCGGAAUUACUGGGCGUAAAGCGUGCGUAGACGGUUAUUUAAGUCGGAUGUGAAAGCCCCGGGCUCAACCUGGGAAUUGCAUUCGAGACUGAAUAGCUAGGGUGCGGUAGAGGGAAGCGGAAUUUCCGGUGUAGCGGUGAAAUGCGUAGAUAUCGGAAGGAACAUCAGUGGCGAAAGCGGCUUCCUGGACCAGCACCGACGUUCAGGCACGAAAGCGUGGGAGCAAACAGG